UUCUAUCGGUACACACAAUUUUGGCUCGGUAAGCCAAACGGAGGGCAUUUUGGUCAUUUCGUCUUUAGAGAUGAUUUUUGACCAACUUGUCCAUUUAUUUAAGUGAAUUAUAUGACAUAAAAUAUGAAUAAACAUUAAGGAAAAAUUUAUUAAAAAUAAGUAAAUGGAGUAAGGAAGAAAAACAAAAAAAUAAAUAAAUAAUGAAAUAAAAGUCAAGUAAUGACAUAAGCAUGACCUCAUUAAAAACUCACCCACCAAUAAAAAUUUAAUAAACACAUUUUAAGGGAUAAUGAAGACCAAAAUCACUUCAUCUUCUUCAUUUGCUAUGGUGGCCGAAAUUCCUUCAUGAGCUCUCCACCAUUUUUCUUCCUUCCCAACUUGAUUUCUUUAAGUUUUUCACCAUAAAACCUAUCUUUGUCUUCACAAAAAAUCAUCCAUACACCUUGGGCAAGCUAAAGGGAGCAAAAAGAGGUAACAAGGAAGAGUUCUUACAAGCUUGGGAUUAGCUCCAUUAGAGGUACUGGAGACACAGCUGGGGAGUCCAGCAGACCGCACACUGGGUGAGCCUUCAUAUCUGCACUCAGAGUUCAGAGUCACCUCACAUUGCAGUGCAUUUGGUAGGACAUUAGGCCAUCUGGGAUAUAUUUUGAUAUUUUGAUAUUUUGUAUUUUGUAAACUUUUGUUAUGUACAUUAUAAACCCAUGUAAUCAUAUUUUUGCUGUAAUUAUCUAUGAACUGUGUUCAAAAAUAAAAAUGAGUAUUUCUCAUUGAAUUUGGUAUGAUAUGAGAUGAAUGUAAAUUUUGAGAUAUUGAAAUGAAUUGAGAAUAUAUUGGAGGUUGACUGAGAAUAA